CGGUCCAGGGCGAGGAGUAGGCACCUGGCGUUGGCGCUGGGCGGAUUUGCGAUUACAGGGAAACCGCCGGGCGGUAGACCCCUACCAUCGGGCGGUAGUGCGAUUUGUGGGAAACCGCCAGGCGUCACACUUGUUCCGUCGGGCGGUUGUCUGCUGGGCUUGGGCCUGUUUUCUGUUGCGCUCCUCACCUAUAAAUAGCCCUAUUGCGAGUUUAGAUGCAUUCUUUU
rnacentral:lncRNA from 1 species